UACGAAGGGGGCUAGCGUUGCUCGGAGUCACUGGGCGUAAAGGGUGCGUAGGCGGGUCUUUAAGUCAGGGGUGAAAUCCUGGAGCUCAACUCCAGAGCUGCCUUUGAUACUGAGGAUCUUGAGUUCGGGAGAGGUGAGUGGAACUGCGAGUGUAGAGGUGAAAUUCGUAGAUAUUCGCAAGAACACCAGUGGCGAAGGCGGCUCACUGGCCCGAUACUGACGCUGAGGCACGAAAGCGUGGGGAGCAAACAGG
rnacentral:rRNA from 1 species